rnacentral:rRNA from 1 species
UACGUAGGGUGCAAGCGUUGUCCGGAAUUAUUGGGCGUAAAGAGCUCGUAGGCGGUCUGUCGCGUCUGCUGUGAAAACUCGGGGCUUAACCCCGGGCCUGCAGUGGGUACGGGCAGACUAGAGUGCGGUAGGGGAGACUGGAAUUCCUGGUGUAGCGGUGAAAUGCGCAGAUAUCAGGAGGAACACCGGUGGCGAAGGCGGGUCUCUGGGCCGUAACUGACGCUGGAGGAAGCGAAAGCGUGGGGAGCGAACAGG